rnacentral:rRNA from 1 species
UACGUAGGGUGCAAGCGUUAAUCGGAAUUACUGGGCGUAAAGCGUGCGCAGGCGGUUGUGCAAGACAGAUGUGAAAUCCCCGGGCUUAACCUGGGAACUGCAUUUGUGACUGCACGGCUAGAGUGCGGCAGAGGGGGAUGGAAUUCCGCGUGUAGCAGUGAAAUGCGUAGAUAUGCGGAGGAACACCGAUGGCGAAGGCAAUCCCCCUGGGCCUGCACUGACGCUCAUGCACGAAAGCGUGGGAGCAAACAGG